UAGGGAAUCUUCCACAAUGGGCGCAAGCCUGAUGGAGCAACACCGCGUGAGUGAAGAAGGGUUUCGGCUCGUAAAACUCUGUUGUUGAAGAAGAACGUGCGUGAGAGUAACUGUUCAUGCAGUGACGGUAUUCAACCAGAAAGUCACGGCUAACUACGUGCCAGCAGCCGCGGUAAUACGUAGGUGGCAAGCGUUAUCCGGAUUUAUUGGGCGUAAAGCGAGCGCAGGCGGUUACUUAAGUCUGAUGUGAAAGCCUUCGGCUUAACCGAAGAAGUGCAUCGGAAACUGGGUGACUUGAGUGCAGAAGAGGACAGUGGAACUCCAUGUGUAGCGGUGGAAUGCGUAGAUAUAUGGAAGAACACCAGUGGCGAAGGCGGCUGUCUGGUCUGCAACUGACGCU
rnacentral:rRNA from 1 species